rnacentral:rRNA from 1 species
GAUGAACGCUGGCGGCGUGCCUAAUACAUGCAAGUCGAGCGAACGGACGAGAAGCUUGCUUCUCUGAUGUUAGCGGCGGACGGGUGAGUAACACGUGGAUAACCUACCUAUAAGACUGGGAUAACUUCGGGAAACCGGAGCUAAUACCGGAUGAUAUUUUGAACCGCAUGGUUCAAAAGUGAAAGACGGUCUUGCUGUCACUUAUAGAUGGAUCCGCGCUGCAUUAGCUAGUUGGUAAGGUAACGGCUUACCAAGGCAACGAUGCAUAGCCGACCGGAGAGGGGGAUCGGCCACCUGGGAAGUGAGACGCGGUCCAGACUCCUACGGGAGGCAGCAGUAGGGAAUCUGACGCAAUGGGCGAAAGCAUGACGGAGUAACGCGGCGUGAGUGAUGAAGGUGUUCGGUUCGUAAAACUCUGUUAUGAGGGAAGAACAGAUGUGUAAGUAACUGAGCACAUCUUGACGGUACCUAAUCAGAAAGCCACGGCUAACUACGUG